rnacentral:tRNA from 1 species
GCCGUUGUGGCUUAGCUCGGUGGUAAAGCGUCCGCUUCGCACGCAGAGUACCCAGGUACGAUUUCUGCUGACGGCG